UGUCCUGGACGGCAGCCUUCAACUCAGUGGCCAAACCCGCUUCAACAUUCCUAGCAACAACCGAGUGGCUGUGGGUAGGUCUGGUUUCACUGUCAGAGCUCAUCAGACACCGGCCGAGCCUGAGACUGGACGCAGAGCCAUGUUGGGUCUUGUUGCUGCUGGUUUGGCCACUGGCUCCUUUGUUCAAGCUGUGCUUGCCGAUGCCAGAAGCAUCAAGGUUGGCCCACCUCCCCCUCCCUCUGGUGGACUGCGUAAGUCAUCCAUUCUUUUCAAUUUAUACAAAUUUAAUCAACAUUGUUUUGUAGGCCAUGGUCCAUAAAGAACUUGAGAACUGGAAUUUUAGCUGGAAAAAUGGAAUCAUUAUAUAUUUUAUAAAUGUUCAAAUUUUGUAAUUUGAUGAUGAAAUCGGCAUGUCGGCAGCUGGAACUCUGAACUCUGAUGAGCCAAGAGACCUUGUUCUGCCAUACAAAGACAGGUUCUUCCUCCAACCAGUUACUCCAGCUCAGGCAGCACAGAGAGCAAAGGAAUCAGCCAAGGACAUUCUGGGUGUCAAGAACUUGAUUGACAAAAAAGCCUGGCCUUAUGUCAUGAAUGAUCUCCGUCUCAAGGC
rnacentral:lncRNA from 1 species